UACGUAGGGUGCAAGCGUUGCCCGGAUUUAUUGGGCGUAAAGGGCGCGCAGGCGGCCGAGCACGUCCGUUGUGAAAUCGCCUGGCUCAACUGGGCGGGGUCAGCGGAUACGGCUAGGCUGGAGCAAGCUAGGGGGCAAUGGAAUUCCUGGUGUAGCGGUGAAAUGCGCAGAUAUCAGGAGGAACACCGAUUGCGAAGGCAGCUCGCUGGGACGUUACUGACGCUGAGACGCGAAAGCGUGGGGAGCAAACAGG
rnacentral:rRNA from 1 species